CCUACGGGAGGCAGCAGUGGGGAAUAUUGGACAAUGGGCGAAAGCCUGAUCCAGCAAUUCCGCGUGUGUGAAGAAGGCCUUCGGGUUGUAAAGCACUUUAGGUUGGGAAGAAAAAGCUUCGGUGAAUAUCCGGAGUGUUGACGGUACCAACAGAAUAAGCACCGGCUAACUCUGUGCCAGCAGCCGCGGUAAUACAGAGGGUGCAAGCGUUAAUCGGAUUUACUGGGCGUAAAGCGUGCGCAGGUGGUUUCGUAAGUCGGAUGUGAAAGCCCCGGGCUCAACCUGGGAACUGCGUUCGAUACUGCGAGACUAGAGUUUGGUAGAGGGUGGCGGAAUUCCCGGUGUAGCGGUGAAAUGCGUAGAUAUCGGGAGGAACAUCAAUGGCGAAGGCAGCCACCUGGGCCUGAACUGACACUGAGGCACGAAAGCGUGGGUAGCAAACAGGAUUAGAUGCCCUGGUAGUCCACGCCGUAAACGAUGAGAACUUGACGUUGGUUCGUUUUACGAAUCGGUGUCGUAGCUAACGCGAUAAGUUCUCCGCCUGGGGAGUACGGCCGCAGGUUGAACUCAAAUGAAUUGACGG
rnacentral:rRNA from 1 species